UACAGAGGUCCCAAGCGUUGUUCGGAUUCACUGGGCGUAAAGGGUGCGUAGGUGGUCGGGUAAGUUUGAGGUGAAAGCUCCGGGCUCAACCCGGAAAUGGCCUCGAAUACUAUCUGGCUCGAGGGUUGGAGGGGGACUGGAAUUCUCGGUGUAGAGGUGAAAUUCGUAGAUAUCGAGAGGAACACCGGUGGCGAAGGCGGCCUUCUGGACAGUGACUGACGCUGAGACGCGAAAGCGUGGGGAGCAAACAGG
rnacentral:rRNA from 1 species